rnacentral:lncRNA from 1 species
GCUGAAUCACUUCCUGAGACGCAGUGGUUGUCAUCUGCAGAAAGGGUUGCGUGAUUCGCUUUAAUGCUUCACGUUUCUUAAAAUGGUUGAAUCCCUUUUUCUAAGAAGGUGCUUUGUGCAUGUUUAUGUUGUAAUCGACGUCAGUUACUCGUCUGAUUAACACGACGUUUAAUCAAACAACAGGAUAGGCCUUUUCGAGCCCUCACACCUGUGAGUCAUCUGAUUUUGUUCAGUGAUUUUUAAACAAGCUGAAUGAAGUGACCCGAACUGGAAGUGUGGAGCCAGUUCAGCCUUGGUGACUCAUGAGAGCUGGCCUACAUUUCAGCAGAUAUUCCAGUCGCAGGGCAUCAUGAAGGAAAACCAGGGUCAACAUGAGGUGCUCCAGUGUAAUCCUCACCUGGUUACAGUC